ensembl:lncRNA
AUUACAAUAGUCUUUUAAAUAGGAUUAUUUUUGAAGAGAUUUCAAAGACAUUUUUGUUGUUCUCAUGAGUGUAAUUCAUACGUCUUUUUUUAUGUAUAGCCUACUUAUGUUUAGGCUUAAACGUGCAUGUAUUGGUUUGUCUUCUUUUUUAAUGCUUGUGGUUCAAAGCAUUUCUGUAAUGAGUAAGAGAUAGUAAGUAAAUGAACAUUUAAAUAAAUAGAAAUAGAAGCUUUUCAGAAUAUUUAAAUGUAUUUGAACUUGACUUAUUAAGGCAAGUUCUUCUACCAGUUGAAAAAGGUAAAAAUGAAGGCCUUUCUUUUACUAAUUUUGGAAGAGUUAUCCAUGCUUUUAUCACCAGUAGGCUUGACUGUUGUAACUCUCUUUACUUGGGGAUCAGUCAAUCUUCUCUAAGCACCUUCAGAUGGUUCAAAAUGUGGCUGCCGGAGUCCUAAUGGGAGCUGGACAGCAUGAGCAUAUGACCCCUGUCCUAUAGGGUCUUUACACUAAAAAAUCCUGGACUAUUUUUUUAACCCAAAUUCUAGGUUGAGCCUUUUGGGUCAUUUUUUGGGUUCUUUUUUCAGUGUUUGGGUAGUUUUUGUGUUACCUAGCUCCUGUGCCAAAUGUGUUUGGGUUGUUUUGCAGCUCCUGGGUCAAAUGAAACAAACCAAUGUUUGGGUAGUUUUUGUAUUACUCAGAUCCUGGGUCAGGACAGACGUAACCCAGCGGUUGAGUUAUUUAUCGCGGGGAUUUUGCUUCUCUUCUGGAGAGAGCAGUUCUAAGCGCCAUCGAAUUGAUGCAUUCGUUGGUAAAAUACAGGUUAUAAAGGCAAUCGCAGUAUAUUUCGGAUUUGAGUGAAACGCAGGGCGGCGGCCUCAGCCGUGAGCAGUUACCCGCCGAACACGACUCCAGCUCGGGCACGAGAACCAGCGCGGCGCAGUUACGGUGGAAACAGAACAACAGAGACUGGUUAAUAACACGAAAAUUACUUCUGUUUAAAGUUUAAUUUUUACUUUUAAUGUUUGUUAAACAAGUUUAAAUAUGGGCAAUAUAUGUGGCCUAUUAAAAACGAUAUAGCCUAUAGGCUAAGCAAUGCUGUAAAUGAUAAAUAAAAGAAGUUAUCAUGCAAACCA